UGCUGUGGGUCGCAGAAGUGCACGUGGCCGUCAAUGCCGGCAGCCGUCAGGAUCAGAUGUUCGCCGGAGAUGGCAUCGGUGGAGGGACCUGUCACAAGGUCGGGCGAUACGCCCUUCAUCACAUUCGGGUUGCCCGCCUUGCCUACGCCGGCAAUCUUGCCGUCCUUGAUACCUACAUCGGCCUUCACUACGCCGAGUUUGGCAUCGAUGAUCGUGACAUUGGUAAUCACCAGGUCAAGACUCCCGGCUGCCGAGGUGCAUUCAUUGGCCAGACCCAUGCCAUCGCGU
rnacentral:sRNA from 1 species